rnacentral:lncRNA from 1 species
UCUACUUCGUCUAAAUACCCCAUUGAUUGACUAUUAAGGGCGUUAGAACAAAAUAAAAAUCCACAAUUUUGGUCACUUUCAGCAUUGAAUCACACAGUGAAUUAAAUUAAAAGUGUUGUGAUCUAAAUUCUGAUGAAUCAUACAACAAAAGAAGAAAAUACCAAAUUUCCCUUUGGAUUUGGGGCGGGGGGGAGCCAUAAACACACAUUUCCUUUUUCUUUGCAGUUGCCCUAUAUAUAGCAAAUGAAUUUUUUUUUUUUUUAGUUUAGAGCAAAGUUUUUAGAUUAUUUUAUUUACAAUAACUGUGUAAAUAUAUGCUCAAUUUGGUAAGAAAAUUUUCUUUGUUGUGAAAAGUCUCAGCCAGACCAGGCCCCUGUAGGUUAGCCAGUCAGAUAACCUCUAGGAUGUCCCAGCAGAGCAAGAGUUUGAGAGAAGUUUGAAGAUUAAGAAAGAAGGGAAAAAUAAAGUAUAUACUGAGUGAAGUGAGGAGGCUGGAGCCACAGCAGAGAAGCAGAAGACCUAGACCACAGUGCUGAACAUGCCACCAAUUUGAUUGUGUGACCCUGAAAAUUAAUGACAGCUCCUCUGACUUCAGCUGUGUUGUCUCUAACACGAGGGUACAUAAGUGACAAUCUUCCUAUACUCCACCUCUAAAAUCAUGGUUUUUCACCAGGACAUAAGCAAUCCAGAGUUUAUAGAAUAUAGAGUGGAAAUGAAUACAUCUGCCAAACACCAGUGAAAUAGAGAAGGGAGGAAUAAAGCUAAAAUGAAUUGACUUGACUGGUUCUAUGUGCAGACUUGGUUAGCAGCAUUACCUUGGCCCUCCCAGCAACUUUGGGAGACAGAUCAACCAUCCAUUCACCCAACUAUACUGAACAUCUGCUAUGAGUUAGGCUGUGUGUAGGGAGUGUGAGAUACCUCAGUUAGCAAAAUAAACAUCGUUUACCCCAUGGAGCUUAUAUUCCAACUGUGGAGACAGAUUAUACAGAAAGUGACUUCAUUAUGUUCCUCUAUGUUUGUGAAGAAGUAGGACAGGGUGCUUUGAGCUGGUGAUCAUGUUUGGGGCCUUAUGUAAUAUGGGGAUCAUGUCAAUAAAUCUUUCUUUUUUAAAGAAAAUCGUAUUUACCAUGAGAUAUUAAUAAGCAUACAUAAAAAUUGGCGAGGCAGUCACAUGAAAUGAUAUACAUAAGGACUCAAAGCAGGAAAGAACAUGCUAAGUCCAAAAUGAUUUGUAAUCUUUACAGACUGGGCUUAGAUGUAUAUUCAUCUUUUAAGUCACAUAAUUAUUUCAUUGGUAGCAGCUGGAAGGUGAGGUUUAAUAUUUGGAAAAUUCAAGUUCAGAGACUGUUACUUUUCCUGAUAAAGCAUGUCUGGUUCCUCUUUGAUGACUCCAUCUACAUCUCAUUGGAAUCAGGGGUUGGAAGUGGCCCCUAAAUGCACACAGUGUGCAAGGCUUUAUCUUCCUUGUUCCCACAAAGAUACACUGAGAAAACCUUCCUGCAUUUUGCAAAGCCCAAAGGAACAGUAGGCAUUAUGUUUAUAUUGUGCAAAAGAUCACCAUUAUGACUUAUUCGCCAUCUUUAAGUUUGUUGUUACUAACAAUACUUCUAACCAACUCUUAACGUACCAAGUUGAUUAUAGUUAUUAUUAAGCUGAAAGUUAAGAAAUUGCUCACAAGAAACCAGCAUCCUGUCAUAUACCAAAGCCGCACAUAUUUGUCCCAGUUCUUUCUCUCAGAGCUCAGAUAAUCAUUUCCCCAUGUCAGGGGGCUUUUCAACGUUUCAAUGGCCUAGUGGGAUGCUCUUUUGAGCCCAGAGGGCAAUUACUAAAACUUAAGGUAAGUGGGGAAGGGAACAGAAAACAUGAUUGCCAGUCCAAACAAGUGAGGUCCAGGGGACGGCUUAAGUUGUGCAUUAAGUAUAAUCUUUUGGCUUUGACAAGAAGGUGAGGUGACCAGUAAUUAGCCAUUCAAGUUGAACUCUAAGCAGCAUGAUUGGGAUGGGAAGUAGGCGGCUGCCCAGCCCACAGUUUCUGGCAUUUGAGAGCUUUGCAGGCAGGAACUCAUCUUGAGUCUAAUAAAAUGAUUUGCUAGAGUGAAGUUGUUUGUUGGUUUGUUUUUAAAUCUGUGCAUUUUUAUUUUUUUCCUCCAAAAAUAUUGGCAGAGCUUGAUUAGGGCACUGGCUAAAUGAUCCACAACAAGGCCUCAGAAAGACUGAGGAAUUGGUGUGGUUCAUCUCCCCCUGCUGCCUUGACUGCACCUUUCCUCCCUCCAUAGCUCAGCGCAUGGUGCAUAUCCAUCCCAAGCUGGAGAGAUGGGUCCCUGGGAGCUGUCAGGGAAUCCUUCCCAUGAGCAAGUCAUUCAGCAAAUAUUCAAAAUAGGUGUAAAUCUCAGAUAAAUUCAAGAAACAUGAACUUUUUAUAUUUCCUUACAUUCUGAGUAACCAACCUACCAAGCUAGCGGGAAAUUUAACCCAGCCAUGCUUGGGCUGCUCACCAGGAUUCUACAAAGGUGUGGGUCUGACCAAGUGCAGAAUUUUGUAUGGUGUAGAGAUAUUGGGAAGACUUCUCCAGUAUUUUGUCAUCUGUCUAUACUGAUUAGCACUGAGAUAGCAACCAUCCCAGUCUACAUGACCACUCAGGUUCCACCUUUGCUGCUUUUAGGCCACGUUUGGGGUAGGAAUUCUGGCAAAGUGAGCAGAACUUCACCUGGGGUCUAGCCUACCUUGGUGUAUACACAGCCUUCACCUCCAAGGGGCACAGUUACAAAGAGGUAAGAGCCUCCCUACUCACAGGAGCUGCAGAACUGUAGUCCCUUCCCAGCCCAGGAAAGCAGCUUAUUUCUUUCUCAUCCUUUCAAAAGCAGGCUAUCUCCUUCUUUGCAUUAAGCAAGAAGUAACAAGCUUGACUACCUGUGUGAGGUGAAGAGAAAGUGUAAAACAUAUGGAAAGCAAAUACAAUCAAAUUCCCCGGAGUAAACUACUUGUGUGUAAGUGUGUGUGUGCAUGAGAAGGAAGGAAAAUAGAAGCUAUAUCUAACUGGAUAAGGAUCUUGUUUAUUCAGUUCCUUUUGUCUCUUGGUGGCAGGGAUCCAACCCUGUACAGAAUCUUCCUCUGCACACUGAAGUUUGAAAAUCACUGAGU